rnacentral:rRNA from 1 species
GCGAGCUUUUUGGUAGUUUACUACUAAAAAUGACUGAGCGGCGAACGGGUGAGUAACGCGUGAGCAAUCUACCUUAGUUACUGGGAUAGCCCGAGGAAACUCGGAUUAAUACCGGAUAUUCUUAUUUUUUCACAUGAAGUUUUAAGGAAAGGUCAGCCGAACUAAGAUGAGCUCGCGUUCUAUCAGCUAGUUGGUGGGGUAAAAGCCUACCAAGGCUACGACGGAUAGCUGGUCUGAGAGGACGAUCAGCCACACUGGGACUGAGACACGGCCCAGACUCCUACGGGAGGCUGCAGCAGGGAAUAUUGUGCAAUGAGCGAAAGCUUGACACAGCGACACCGCGUGUGGGAUGACGGUUCUAGGAUUGUAAACCACUUUCAGGAGGGAAGAAAAUGACGGUACCUCCACAAGAAGACCCGGCCAACUAUGUGCCAGCAGCCGCGGUAAUACAUAGGGGUCAAGCGUUGUCCGGAUUUAUUGGGCGUAAAGAGCUCGUAGGCGGUUCAACAAGUCGGUCGUAAAAGUUUAGGGCUCAACCCUAAAAUGUCGAUCGAUACUGUUGUGACUAGGAUACGGUAGAGGUGAAUGGAAUUCCGAGUGUAGCGGUGAAAUGCGUAGAUAUUCGGAGGAACACCAAUUGCGAAGGCAGCUCACUGGACCGUGAUCGACGCUGAGGAGCGAAAGCUAGGGGAGCAAACAGGAUUAGAUACCCUGGUAGUCCUAGCCGUAAACGAUGGAUACUAGAUGUAGGAACUGGAUUGACGGUUUCUGUAUCGUAGCUAACGCGUUAAGUAUCCCGCCUGGGGAGUACGGUCGCAAGACUAGAACUCAAAGGAAUUGACGGGACCCCGCACAAGCGGCGGAGCAUGCGGCUUAAUUCGAUGAUACCCGUAGAACCUUACCUGGACUUGACAUAUAGGGAAAAACUGGAGAAACCCAGUGUGCGUAAGCGCCCUAUACAGGUGGUGCAUGGCUGUCGUCAGCUCGUGUCGCGAGAUGUUGGGUUAA